GGGGACAAGAGAAAUCAGGAGAAUGAAUGACCCAGAUCCGACCGCUUGAUGAGAUCGAUGGAGGAGAUUUAAAAGAAAAUGAACGGUCUAGAUCGAGUCAUGAAGAUCCAACAGUUGAGGGAACGGAUAUAAAAGGGGAAGAGAUUAAGGUUUUUUUUUUUCAUUUUGAGAGGAGAAACUGAAAAGAGGAAGGGAGAAAGAGAGAAAGAGGCAAUUGGGGAAAGGAGGAAGAAGGCAGUUGCACGGGGAAGUCGAAAGAGAGAAAAGAGAGAGGAAAGAAGAGAGAUGCUGGAAGGGAAGAGGGGAACGAAAAAGAAAGGAGAGAAAAAGGGAAGAGAAAAGGAGUGGCCAAGGGGGAGGAAGGGAAACCGAGAACAGUUGUGCAAGGGGAGAAGAGAGAGAGAGAGAACCGCAGAUGAGGAAGAAGAAGAAAGGGAAUCGCGGCCGAGGAGCACCGUGUGAUGGUGAAAUCCAAACCCGAGGCUAUUUGGAUUUUCGAACACUGCACCCGAGUUAGGUGCGUUCCUUUUCUUCUUUUAAUUUGUGUUUUUGACCAAACAAGUGUUCAUGUAUGUGUGUAUGUGCAGGUUUAGGAGUUAAAGGACCGCAGGGUGAUCGAGAGGAGGCGAUCGGGAGCUGAGCCGAGGCCAAAUUGCCCACACUGAAAGGUAAAAUAGUUUUUUUUUCAAGUUUUGGGGGUGGUUGAGCGGUGGUGGGGCGGGGUUAGUGUCGGGCUGGCCGCGCGGGCUCGGCUAGGCCACCUACCCCCAUGGGAACCAAGGAAGUUUCCUCAAAAAUGGGGAAAACCAACCAUUCGAGAAGCCGAAGGGUCUUCCUUGAGCAUGGAAACUCGAUCCACCAUUUUGGAGUUUUGAUUCGCUGUUCAUGAAGCUGAAAAGUCUUCAUUGGGAAACGAAAAUUUGAUUUGCUGUCCGAAAAGCUAAAAAGUUUUUCUCGAAAAAUAUGAAUCUGAUUCGCCGAACGGGGAGCCGAAAGAUUUUUUGGAUACGGAUUUCAAUAAUUUCGGGUAUUCUGUUGGGUGGUUGUUAGAACCUAUAAUUUGAUUAAAUUAAUUUUUAGUAUUUCGAAGUAUUUUAAUUAAUUAUGUCGUGUGUACAAAAAAAUUUAGACAUUCAGACGGAUCCAGAAAGAUGCAUAGGAGUGUAAGUAUUUCUAAAUCUUAACCAGGUUAAAUUUUGAAAUGUGCAUUCAUUUUAUAAAAAUUAUGAAUUUUGAAAUUGAAUGGACAUUGGCCUAAUUUCGAUAAAAAAAG
rnacentral:lncRNA from 1 species